UACGUAGGGUGCGAGCGUUGUCCGGAAUUACUGGGCGUAAAGAGCUCGUAGGUGGUUUGUCGCGUUGUCCGUGAAAACUCACAGCUCAACUGUGGGCGUGCGGGCGAUACGGGCAGACUGGAGUACUGCAGGGGAGACUGGAAUUCCUGGUGUAGCGGUGGAAUGCGCAGAUAUCAGGAAGAACACCCGUGGCGAAGGCGGUUCUCUGGGACGGUACUGACGCUGGAGAACGCGAAAGCGUGGGGAGCGAACAGG
rnacentral:rRNA from 1 species